rnacentral:rRNA from 1 species
CAUGGUUGUCGUCAGCUCGUGUCGUGAGAGUGUUGGGUUAAGUCCCGCAACGAGCGCAACCCUCGUCCUAUGUUGCCAGCGGGUCAUGCCGGGGACUCAUGGGAGACUGCCGGGGUCAACUCGGAGGAAGGUAGGGAUGACGUCAAAUCAUCAUGCCCCUUAUGUCUUGGGCUUCACGCAUGCUACAAUGGCCGGUACAAAGGGCUGCGAUACCGCGAGGUGGAGCGAAUCCCAGAAAGCCGGUCUCAGUUCGGAUUGGGGUCUGCAACUCGACCCCAUGAAGUCGGAGUCGCUAGUAAUCGCAGAUCAGCAACGCUGCGGUGAAUACGUUCCCGGGCCUU